AGAGAAGGAAGAAGGCAACAAUGGCGGAAGUCGAAGAACCUCUGCGAAUCCGCAGAUACGAGCAACCUCCAUCUUCCGAAGAGUUCUCUUCUCUGAUUGAAGCCUCCAAUGUUCCGGCGGUCUUUGUUGGCGUUUCCAGGGAUUGGAAGGCCUUCUCCAGGUGGAACCCUUCUAAUGGAGGUCUUGAUUACUUAGAGGAGCUGUUUUUGCAGGAACAAGUAGGAUCUGCUACUGUGGAGGCUAUGCUAUCUACAUCUGCACCGGUUUUCUAUGGAGAUCUCAGACGCCAUGAGAGAGUUCCUUUAUCAUUUUCUACCUUUCUUACCUCUUGCAAAUUGUAUCUUCAUCACGGCGAUAGUUCAAGGAAUAACUCUGCUUUUAUGGCGCUCUCUGAUCCAGAUAAAACUCAAUCGACUUUGUUGGAUUCUCCUGAUAAAAUUUAUUUAGCUCAGGUGCCGAUUUUGCUUAUAGAGAGCAAAGAGAGAUGCCCCUUGGAGAAUCUUAUGGAAGAUAUUCGAAUGCCAAUAUUUUUAAAGGCAAAGCAGAUGUCAGCAAUUAACUUAUGGAUGAAUAGGGCAAGGUCCAAAUCUAGUACUCACUAUGAUCCUCAUCAUAACCUUCUUUGUAUUAUUGCUGGAUGCAAACAAGUUGUUUUAUGGCCACCUUCUGCAAGUCCUUUGCUACAACUAAUGCCCAUAUAUGGAGAAGCUUCAAACCACAGUGAUUGUAAUAUCGACAAUCCUGAUCUUGUGGGUAAUGCAACGGCUCAAAGCCGUAUGGAAUAUGCUCAGAAAAUCAUUCUUCAUGCAGGCGAUGCUCUCUUCAUCCCUGAAGGAUGGUUUCACCAAGUGGAUAGUGAUGAUUUGACCAUUGCGGUGAACUUCUGGUGGAAGUCUUUUAUGAUGUCUAACAUGUCAGAACACAUGGAAGCAUACUAUCUACGCCGAAUAUUAAGCAGACUGCUUGAGCGGGAAAAGGAUAAGAUGCUGUGCAAGAGCCCCUUUGCUAGUUUAAGAUGCAAGAAAAUGGCUGAAAUUGCUACUGAUUUUCCAACAGGUGGUGAUGAAUCAAAUUCUGUUGUCCAGAGGGGUAACAUAAAUGGGAAUGCUGAACAGCAGGGGGUGACUUUGGAACAGCUAGAACCCUUCACUUCGGUUGUACUACAUGAAUUAAUUUCUUUGGUGCAUAACACUCUUAACUCUUCUGGUCAAAAUCAAGUUAAGGAGUCCCAUUUGGAAGCUUUGGAUGUUACCGUUGAAAAUAAUUGCACGCAUGCUAGAACAGAAAAUUCUGUUCUCUUAGAGGACAAUCCUGUUACAAGCAUUUUUUGGACAAUUGAACCACUUGUUCUUCGAAAGGUCUUUCUGGUCAUGGUGCACUACUUCCCAAGGACAUUGGAAGCUCUUGUCCUGCACAUGCUGUCGCCUACCGGUGCAGAAGUACUUACACGUAAAUUUGAUGAGAUGGAUCAACAGACCACAAAAGAAGAACAGAAAGAGUUUUACCAAAAGUUCUAUAGUGUAUUUGAUGAUCAGCAUGCUGCGAUGGAUGCAAUUUUGAAUGGAAAGGAAAUAUUCUCUUUUCAGGCAUACAAAAAUGUGCUUAAUUUACAUUUGGGAGUAAGUGAUUUGGGAGUAAAUGACGACGCCAAGAUUAGUUAGUUGUGAAUGCUGGCAGACAUGCAUGACCUGGAUGACAGAAAAGACUCUGCUUUGUCAUUGCAGGAAAUGUUUGGAUAUGCACCCAAGGAGCAGUGGGCCUUCAGCACAACAAUGCAUUCAUCAAAAUCAGGAACCGGCUUUUCAUUUCAGAUCUCAACAAGUGUGCACUCUUUGUUUCUGGUCUCGCACACAUUUCAGGGUUUAGAUUGAAAGGAAUGAUUGAUGCUUCUAUCCAGUAAGAUGCAUUCAAUCAGUGAUGGUUCAGACAAGAAAAUAAUGCCUUCAGAGUUCAAGACUGGAAAGCAAACUAGUGACCAGAGCUUCUGGUUAGGUGCUUAUUCUCUUUGCUUCGGAUAGCAUAUUCUAUUUGUUGCAUUUAAGUCCGAGAAAAGAGCCAUUUCAGCAUUUUAUAUUGGAUCCAGCUAUUCUAGAUGGUAAUCCAAUACUGUGCACAUAGGGUGCUGCCAUCUUAGCUCUUUUAUGAUAUAUCAUGAGGCCAUUAUUGUUUGUUUCUUUUUCUUCUCAUUCAUCAAAACAACUAUGGUUGAUUUUGGAGAUAGCAAUGCCCAAAAAAAUAUAUGCGUCACUGAGGUGAAACUAAAGAAUCAUACCGUGGGCCAACUUGUAUGCAAUUUCACAGGUUAAAUCCACACCAUGAGGCUGUGAUGAUUCAAGAGGAAGAAGAUGCUUAUGUGUAUAGAACUCAUAGGCUGACAUGCAGAUGUAAAACAUUAGCCUGACCUAACAUGUAUGUAGAUAGGCCAACGACCUUCGGGUCUAUUGGCACACGGGUCGCCGAUAGAGCUCUCA